UGCAGUCAGGUCUAUUUCACAGCCAGCUCCUGCUGACUUUAAGAAAGCUCAGCUUGUGCCAUCAGAGUGGAAUUCCUUGGCCCAGGGCCUCCAGCAGAAGCCCCCUGAGAGGUCACCCUGAUCCUCCAGCCCAUCCCAUCUCCUGACCUUCUCUGUCAUUGCUAUCUUGCCAGUCACCCCUCCAGCCCCCACUUCACCCAAGAUCUUCCCCGUGGGAAUGAACUGAAACAUCGAGAUUUUUCUGUGGUGAUCGAACUGGAGGACUCUAACUUUCACUUACAAGAUCUAUUCAUGUUUGCAACAACAUAUCAUGAUGGGUGGAGAAUACUAAUACCAAAGGACUGAGUCUCUUUAAAUUUGACCAACUGACUUAGCAGGCAGCUGGUGCCUUGGUUCCUUUCUAUCCCUCAUGCUUAAGAUAACUUGACAAGACACUGAGGGAUAUUUUGAACCUUUCAGGCCUAAAAGCUGUGAUUUGGAUGGAAUUAAUAAAAUGGCAAGAGCUAUCUCCAACUUUGCCACCUGAGAAACACAAGUCCAAGUCCAAUACUUACAGAAGAAAUAACUAUUCCACCUAGUCAAGGAACUAGCCAACACUUAAUGGAGGAUUGCCCUUGGUUAUAGAGCUAACUGCAAAUGAAGUAACUAGAGGAAGACCAUUUACCUUCUCCAUUGAAGAGACCAUUCAAGAGCCAACUCAGCAAUCAGGGUCUAGCAGUGUUACUGACUGGAUGACUGGCACUUAGAGUCCAGCACCCUGCUGAGAAACCAGCAACCCAUGUGAGGAUUCCAUGGCCAACUGAGAUCACAAGACUCUUGAACAGAAGAAAUGCCAAGAGAGCUAGAAUCUUACAGAUGGUGGUAUUAAUAAUGGAGCAAACUAGAACCAAUGACAAAGACAUGAAGUCUGAAAAUAGCACAGAGAAUAUAAAUAUUGUGAGAUGAAUGUUCCCCCUUCAAUUCUCCUUAUUUGCCAAAUAUUUUCAUUUCCUUUUGUCAUUAUAGAAAAUAAAACCAUGCAUCACAGUCAAAAGUGCUCCACUA